rnacentral:rRNA from 1 species
GAUGAACGCUGGCGGCGUGCUUAACACAUGCAAGUCGAACGAAGCACUUUAUUUGAUUUCCUUCGGGACUGAUUAUUUUGUGACUGAGUGGCGGACGGGUGAGUAACGCGUGGGUAACCUGCCUUGUACAGGGGGAUAACAGUUGGAAACGGCUGCUAAUACCGCAUAAGCGCACGGCAUCGCAUGAUGCAGUGUGAAAAACUCCGGUGGUAUAAGAUGGACCCGCGUUGGAUUAGCUAGUUGGUGAGGUAACGGCCCACCAAGGCGACGAUCCAUAGCCGACCUGAGAGGGUGACCGGCCACAUUGGGACUGAGACACGGCCCAAACUCCUACGGGAGGCAGCAGUGGGGAAUAUUGCACAAUGGGCGAAAGCCUGAUGCAGCGACGCCGCGUGAGCGAAGAAGUAUUUCGGUAUGUAAAGCUCUAUCAGCAGGGAAGAUAAUGACGGUACCUGACUAAGAAGCAC